rnacentral:rRNA from 1 species
UACAGAGGUCUCAAGCGUUGUUCGGAUUUAUUGGGCGUAAAGAGCGUGUAGGCGGCCAGGUAGGUCUGCUGUGAAAACUCGAGGCUCAACCUCGAGACGUCGGCGGAAACCAUCUGGCUAGAGUCCGGAAGAGGAGAGUGGAAUUCCUGGUGUAGCGGUGAAAUGCGCAGAUAUCAGGAAGAACACCCGUGGCGAAGGCGGCUCUCUGGGACGGUACUGACGCUGAGACGCGAAGGCCAGGGGAGCAAACGGG